GGAGUUGUUGUUGCCCUGAAUGACGUCACUUCCUGGAGACGGGGCUCCCGCUUCCGGACAACGGCGGGGCGGGGCCGACGAGGCCUUUAGAGCUGGGUGUCGGGGAUCGGAGGAGGCGUGGCCUAACUCUGCUUCCUGAAGGAACCAGAAAAACAGAAACAUGCCACUCUGAGUAACAACAACACAACAACAACAGAAGACUUAAGGCUGGUUGCAAAGACAGUGUUUCAGGAAGAAAAUCUUAACUUGGAACGCCUGAAAAGUUACACAAAGCAACCACUUUACCAGCAACCCAAAUGAAGUUUUUUCUUUAUAACUAUUAUACACAGGAGCGAUUUCACUACUAAUUAUAAAAAUAGCUUUGUUGGGUGUUCUUUUGAAAAAAGGAGUAAUUAGCCAAAAGGAAAAAAGUAGUUCUGUCCCAUACUUAGUAAUGGGACACAUGCCCAAACCACGGUUAACCAUAACCGUUCCUCUUUCAGAAUUUUCUACUCUCAGUCCCACAGAAUGAUCCUUUUCCCCCCCACAAAUAGAAUGAAUGAAGCAUUCUGGAAUAUGGAGAACGAAGCAUUUUCUAAUAUAUGGAACUGUGUUUAGCCCACCUCUUCCUGCCAAGGGGUGACCAAUUAAAAUGAAAAGAACUUGGUGCUUUAAUAUCAGAAGUUGCGCAGUGAAACAAAUGAUCCCGUCUAAUGAAAGUUUCUUUUAAUUAAGAAUAAUAAAAGGAAGCAAGCAAGCAGGCUGCAAAGCAAAAUAAGCAGACUUUAGCAUCCUUUUUUUAUUCGCAGCUAUGUCCUGGGAACAUAAAAAAAGCCUUGUACUGAAAACUGUGGGGUGCCGACAGGCAUUGUGGAAACAUAAUGAAGAGGUUAGUGUUUUGCAACAUGCCACUCUUAUUUCUGUCAACGUCUCCUUAACUGUUUGUGACUAUCCUUGUUCUGGUAGCGCUUCUGUGAACUAAUACUUCUACCCUGGUAUCAACUUUGUGAAUAUGGCUACAGCAGGCCACCACCCCCCCCACGACCAUGGCGGAUUUACACAUUUUUUUUUAACGUGGGUGUAACCCAAAUCAAGGGGAAGCAUUUGACAAAGAGGAAUUUCAGGCUAUCAAGACUUGCUCCUGCAAAGCAGGUGUAAGUGGGGGCUUGUGCACCCUUGGUACUUCUCUCUACAAGCUGUACGUAAAACACUUCUCUUCAAAAUGUAGAAAAAUAAAUUAGUUUUGAAGUACCCAGU